rnacentral:tRNA from 1 species
ACUAUUUUGGCAGAAAAGUGUAAUGAUUUUAGAAUUCAUAAAUAUAUAAUUUAUUAUAUAGAUAGUA